UUUUUCUCUUCUUUUUUUGUUCGUACGCCAGUCGAUAGGCUUUAUCGGCCCUGGGGUUGCCCUGAUCGGCCUCACUUCAGCCAGAAGUGCAUCAAUUGCAUCCGCGUGGCUAACUUUGGCAGUUGGACUGAAAUCUUUCAGCCACUCAGGUUUCCUUGUGAACCUUCAGGAAAUUGCUCCGCAAUACUCUGGUGUGCUUCACGGCAUUUCCAACACUGCUGGGACACUUGCUGCUAUUGUGGGAACAGUUGGGGUUGGUUUCUUCGUGGAGCUUGUGGG